rnacentral:sRNA from 1 species
AAAUCCUUCACACUAGAUCGUCUAGGUAAAUUGUAAAUACUGCUACGCUGGUGGCCCUUCUCCACGGUGCAAUCGCCUACGCUCCACGGUACAAGAACUUGAUGAUACAGCAAGUACUCUGUACUACAGCAUACGUGCCCGCAUGCAUAUCAGCUCCUUCACGUAGUCGUUCAGAAUCACGACUAGCUUGUUGCUGCUUCCCUCUCCUUUUCACGCUCUUCUUCUGAACAACAUACAUUUUCAUUCGGUGAUAUAUCUUCAUAUACAGUUCUCAAUGCCGACCAAUGUAAGGCAAUGGUCACAAACAUGAAUUAUCUUGGAAGGCCACUUAUGUACUGAUAUAAGCUUACAUUACGGGCAACUCGUCCUAU